AGGGUGCCUGCUGGAGAGGGUAGCAUGUGCCUGGAGCAUGAAGUUUAAGAGCAGCCCAACAAAAGAGAAGUGCUGAGAACAUGGUCAGCCUGGGUGAAACGUUGCUUACACUAGAGCGUGGAAUCCCUGUGGAAAUCCGGUUCCAGACCCCCUAAUGAGCAAGCCAAGGGUGACAGUGGCUGAGAGGAACCGAUAUUAUAAAGGAGAAUCUGUCCUUAGUUGGGCCACAUCAAAUAGAAUGUAGAAGGGAGCAGAGGAAAUGUUGAUAACAGUGUCUGACCGUUCUUACAGAAAAGAACAAAAUGUGGUUAAAUUAUUUAAAUAAAUAAAAUCAAGAAAAGUCACAAACUUCCUAUCUGUGUAUGGA